AAAGUGCAGCAAAAAGAUAUGGCUUUGAAGUGUCCGACGGCCAAAUCGCACUCCUUGCUGUGGCGUUACCAAACUUGGUGGAGCUUGGGUCAAAGUGGAAGGGAGCUUCAUUGUGCACUGGGUUUGACAGAACUGAGGAGAAGAGAAAAGC